AUUGAACGCUGGCGGCAGGCCUAACACAUGCCAGUCGAGCGGAUGAAGGGAGCUUGCUCCUGGAUUCAGCGGCGGACGGGUGAGUAAUGCCUAGGAAUCUGCCUGGUAGUGGGGGAUAACGUCCGGAAACGGGCGCUAAUACCGCAUACGUCCUGAGGGAGAAAGUGGGGGAUCUUCGGACCUCACGCUAUCAGAUGAGCCUAGGUCGGAUUAGCUAGUUGGUGGGGUAAAGGCCUACCAAGGCGACGAUCCGUAACUGGUCUGAGAGGAUGAUCAGUCACACUGGAACUGAGACACGGUCCAGACUCCUACGGGAGGCAGCAGUGGGGAAUAUUGGACAAUGGGCGAAAGCCUGAUCCAGCCAUGCCGCGUGUGUGAAGAAGGUCUUCGGAGUGUAAAGCACUUUAAGUUGGGAGGAAGGGCAGUAAGUUAAUACCUUGCUGUUUUGACGUUACCAACAGAAUAAGCACCGGCUAACUUCGUG
rnacentral:rRNA from 1 species